rnacentral:rRNA from 1 species
UACGUAGGUGGCAAGCGUUGUCCGGAUUUACUGGGCGUAAAGGGAGCGUAGGCGGAUUUUUAAGUGGGAUGUGAAAUACCCGGGCUCAACUUGGGUGCUGCAUUCCAAACUGGAAGUCUAGAGUGCAGGAGAGGAAAGUGGAAUUCCUAGUGUAGCGGUGAAAUGCGUAGAGAUUAGGAAGAACACCAGUGGCGAAGGCGACUUUCUGGACUGUAACUGACGCUGAGGCUCGAAAGCGUGGGGAGCAAACAGG